rnacentral:rRNA from 1 species
AUACGUAGGGUGCGAGCGUUGUCCGGAAUUACUGGGCGUAAAGAGCUCGUAGGUGGUUUGUCGCGUCGUCUGUGAAAUUCCGGGGCUCAACUCCGGGCGUGCAGGCGAUACGGGCAUAACUUGAGUACUGUAGGGGAGACUGGAAUUCCUGGUGUAGCGGUGAAAUGCACAGAUAUCAGGAGGAACACCGGUGGCGAAGGCGGGUCUCUGGGCAGUAACUGACGCUGAGGAGCGAAAGCAUGGGUAGCGAACAGGAUUAGAUACCCUGGUAGUCCAUGCCGUAAACGGUGGGCGCUAGGUGUAGGGGUCUUCCACGACUUCUGUGCCGUAGCUAACGCAUUAAGCGCCCCGCCUGGGGAGUACGGCCGCAAGGCUAAAACUCAAAUGAAUUGACGGGG